UGCAAGUCGUCAACUGGUCAAGUGGCUAGAUGCACAUAUCGUUAGCCAUAUAAACAACAUGUCCUAAUUGGGUGGUUUUAAAACUUCUAGCAUAGGUGGAUCCAGGGGGCGUCCCCCAAACCCUUUGUGGGGGAAAUUUGGUUGAUUAUAUAGGGAAUCAUUGAAGCAUGAAUGAAGCGGGCCCCCUUAGGAAAAGUUCUGGAUCCGCCACUGUGUAGACAUAUUUACUUAAAUAAGGGAUGAGUAAAGG
rnacentral:lncRNA from 1 species